rnacentral:rRNA from 1 species
UACGUAGGGGCCUAGCGUUGUCCGGAUUUAUUGGGCGUAAAGAGCUCGUAGGCGGUUUGGUAAGUCUGAUGUGAAAUCUCCACGCUCAACGUGGAGGCGCCAUCCGAUACUGCCAUGACUUGAGUCCGGUAGGGGAGUGUGGAAUUCCCGGUGUAGCGGUGAAAUGCGCAGAUAUCGGGAGGAACACCCGUAGCGAAGGCGGCACUCUGGGCCGGUACUGACGCUGAGGAGCGAAAGCGUGGGGAGCAAACAGG